AACGAACGCUGGCGGCGCGCUUAACACAUGCAAGUCGAACGAGAAGGCGUAGCAAUACGCUUGUACAGUGGCGAACGGGUGAGGAAUACAUGGGUAACCUACCCUCGAGUGGGGGAUAACCCGCCGAAAGGCGGGCUAAUACCGCGUACGCUUCCGAUCUUGCGGGAUCGGAAGGAAAGCUGUCCCUUGGGGAUGGCGCUCAAGGAUGGGCUCAUGUCCUAUCAGCUUGNGGUAGGGUAACGGCCUACCAAGGCAUCGACGGGUAGCUGGUCUGAGAGGACGAUCAGCCACACUGGCACUGCGACACGGGCCAGACUCCUACGGGAGGCAGCAGUGAGGAAUAUUGCGCAAUGGGCGAAAGCCUGACGCAGCGACGCCGCGUGGGGGAUGAAGGUCUUCGGA
rnacentral:rRNA from 1 species